rnacentral:lncRNA from 1 species
CCCUCUGACAGACCCACUUCCGGAGGGCUUCUCCAGGAGGGUUCUGCUAAGGGUCUGCGGUGCAGGCCCCUCAGAGUGUGACUGCUUAUGCGUUUACAGAGAUGGUCCGUGUGUCCUGAUGCAUGCAUAGCUGACUGCUCGGAAGUUCUUUAAUUUACACAUCCUCUGAAGUCAGCAUGCAAAAUCCUGCCUUGAAACGGACUGACCGCCAUUUUCUCACUUCCCACCGUAGUGACUGUGGAAGAGAAUUCCGUUAAGGAAAUGCUGGGUUCUGAGGUCUGGUUUUUAUAAUGUGGUAGGGCAGCCCAUAAAAUUUAGGUGACAAUUUUUUUCUGGUUCAUCAGUUUAGGAAAGGUAUCUAAAGUGUUUAAAGGAAGGUUGAUUUAGGAAUAGAAGGGUGAUGAUGGACUGAAACUAGAAAUGAUUUUCUCCAUAAGGUAAUUGAAUACUUGUCUGGGGGCCAAUGGGAAAAACGGAAAUUUUUGAAUUUUCAUUUGUCAAAAUGGACCCUCAGUCAUCUCCCGCUCUUGGAAUCUAUCUGUGAGUCACACUCCUGGGAACUGGAGCUGUCUGUGAUAGAAAUAAAAGCCUUUCCUAGUUGGACUGCGAAGUUAUCUAAACUCAGAACUACAUAUAAAAUCUUUGCCCUGUUGAAUCCAGAAUACAAAAUGGAAAAAAUAAAAUGAUAUAGAAUACAGCAGGAGGAUAAAAGAAGAGGGCAUGGUGACAAACAUUUCUGGAAUGCUUAUUUCUACUGGUUUACACACCUCCCCUAAUUGAUUCAUCUUAGCAGUCAAUAAAGGUAAA